rnacentral:rRNA from 1 species
AGAAUCAACGCUGGCGGCGUGCCUAACACAUGCAAGUCGAACGAGAAAGUGGUAGCAAUACCAUGAGUAAAGUGGCGCACGGGUGAGUAACACGUGACUAACCUACCCUGGAGUGGGGGAUAACUGAGGGAAACCUUAGCUAAUACCGCAUAACACCUACGGGUCAAAGGAGCAAUUCGCUUCAGGAGGGGGUCGCGGCAGAUUAGCUAGUUGGCGGGGUAAUGGCCCACCAAGGCAGUGAUCUGUAUCCGGCCUGAGAGGGCGCACGGACACACUGGAACUGAAACACGGUCCAGACUCCUACGGGAGGCAGCAGUGGGGAAUUUUGCGCAAUGGGGGAAACCCUGACGCAGCAACGCCGCGUGGAGGAUGAAGUCCUUCGGGACGUAAACUCCUUUCGAUCGGGACGAUAAUGACGGUACCGAGAGAAGAAGCCCGGCUAACUUCGCGCCAGCAGCCGC